CUGUCUCGCAGGUUGCUGACCUCUGAGAAAAAGGGGGUGUAGCUUAGAAGAUGAGAGUGUUGUGUCUUCUGUACUUGGUGACAGCCCUUCCUGGGAUCCUGUCCCAGGUGCAGCUUCAGGAGUCAGGACCUGAACUGGUGAAGCCCACUCAAUCACUCCUCCUCACCUGCUCUGUCUCUGCGUACUCUAUCACCACCAGGAACUCCUACUGGCACUGGAUCCGGAAGUUCACAGGGAAUAAGCUGGAGUGGAUGGGGUACAUAGGUUACAGUGGUGGCACUAGCUACAACCCAUCUCUGAAGAGUCGCAUCUCCAUCACUAGAGAAACAUCCAAGAACCAGUUCUUCCUGCAGCUGAGCUCUGUGACCACUGAGGACACAGCCACAUAUUACUGUGCAAGUUACACAGUGAAGGAACCUCACUGUGAGCCCAGACACAAACCUUCCUGCAGAGGAGCUCUGGACCAGCAGGGGGCAAUCAGCACAUGCACCACACCCAGGCUCUCUACUUCAGAGAAGUUAAAUGAAAAACACAAAGUACACUCUGGCCCACAACUCUUGCAGAAGACUCCAGCUUGCAGGAGGCAACACUGCAGUAGAAAGCCCAGGUAA